rnacentral:rRNA from 1 species
UACGUAGGGGGCUAGCGUUGUCCGGAAUCAUUGGGCGUAAAGCGCGCGUAGGCGGCCCAGUAAGUCCGUUGUAAAAGUCAAAGGCUCAACCUUUGAAAGCCGAUGGAUACUGCUGGGCUAGAGUCCGGAAGAGGCGAGUGGAAUUCCUGGUGUAGCGGUGAAAUGCGUAGAUAUCUGGAGGAAUACCGGUGGCGAAGGCGGCGAUCCUGGACCGGCAGUUGACGCUGAGUGAGCGAAAGCCAGGGGAGCAAAGCGGG